GCUGGGUGCGGUGGUGCAUGCCUGUAGUCCCAGCUAUUCGGGAGGCUGAGGCUGGAGGAUCUCUUGAGUUCAGGAGUUCUAGGCCGUAGUGCACUAUGCCGAUCAGGUGUCCUCACUAAGCUCGACAUCAAUAUGGUGACCUCCUGGGAGCAGGGGACCACCAGGUUGCCUAAGGAGGGUGAACCGGCCCAGGUCGGAAACGGAGCAGUUCAAAACUCCCGUGCUAAUCAGUAGUGGGAUCAUGCCUGUGAAUAGCCACUGCACUCCAGCCUGGGCAACAUAGCAAGACCCCGUCUCA
rnacentral:SRP_RNA from 1 species